rnacentral:rRNA from 1 species
CGAAGCAAUUUAACGGAAGUUUUCGGAUGGAAGUUGAAUUGACUGAGUGGCGGACGGGUGAGUAACGCGUGGGUAACCUGCCUUGUACUGGGGGACAACAGUUAGAAAUGACUGCUAAUACCGCAUAAGCGCACAGUAUCGCAUGAUACAGUGUGAAAAACUCCGGUGGUACAAGAUGGACCCGCGUCUGAUUAGCUAGUUGGUAAGGUAACGGCUUACCAAGGCGACGAUCAGUAGCCGACCUGAGAGGGUGACCGGCCACAUUGGGACUGAGACACGGCCCAAACUCCUACGGGAGGCAGCAGUGGGGAAUAUUGCACAAUGGGCGAAAGCCUGAUGCAGCGACGCCGCGUGAGUGAAGAAGUAUUUCGGUAUGUAAAGCUCUAUCAGCAGGGAAGAAAAUGACGGUACCUGACUAAGAAGCCCCGGCUAACUACGUGCCAGCAGCCGCGGUAAUACGUAGGGGGCAAGCGUUAUCCGGAUUUACUGGGUGUAAAGGGAGCGUAGACGGUAAAGCAAGUCUGAAGUGAAAGCCCGCGGCUCAACUGCGGGACUGCUUUGGAAACUGUUUAACUGGAGUGUCGGAGAGGUAAGUGGAAUUCCUAGUGUAGCGGUGAAAUGCGUAGAUAUUAGGAGGAACACCAGUGGCGAAGGCGACUUACUGGACGAUAACUGACGUUGAGGCUCGAAAGCGUGGGGAGCAAACAGGAUUAGAUACCCUGGUAGUC